rnacentral:rRNA from 1 species
UACGUAGGGUGCGAGCGUUGUCCGGAAUUACUGGGCGUAAAGAGCUCGUAGGUGGUUUGUCGCGUUGUCCGUGAAAACUCACAACUCAAUUGUGGGCGUGCGGGCGAUACGGGCAGACUGGAGUACUGCAGGGGAGACUGGAAUUCCUGGUGUAGCGGUGGAAUGCGCAGAUAUCAGGAGGAACACCGGUGGCGAAGGCGGGUCUCUGGACAGUUCCUGACGCUGAGGCACGAAGGCCAGGGGAGCAAACAGG